AAUAUUUCUCAAUGGUGGCAACUCUGAACCAGCCACGUCGCGUGAAGGAUGUCUGCCCUACGGGUUGUAAACUUCUUUUAUACAGGAAUAAAGUGAGUCACGUGUGUCUUUUUGCAUUUACUGUAUUAAUAAGGAUCGGCCAACUCCGUGCCAGCAGCCGCGGUAAUCCGGAGGAUCCAAGCGUUAUCCGGAUUUAUUGGGUUUAAAGGGUGCGCAGGCGGAAGAUUAAGUCGGCGGUGAAAUUUUGCAGCUCAACUGUAAAAGUGCCAUCGAUACUGGUUUUCUUGAGUGUGGAUGAAGUAGGCGGAAUUUGUGGUGUAGCGGUGAAAUGCAUAGAUAUCACGAGGAACUCCGAUUGCGCAGGCAGCUUACUAGGCCAUAACUGACGCUCAGGCACGAAGGCGUGGCGAUCAAACAGG
rnacentral:rRNA from 1 species